UGGGGAAUCUUGGGCAAUGGGCGCAAGCCUGACCCAGCCAUGCCGCGUGUGUGAAGAAGGCCUUCGGGUUGUAAAGCACUUUCAGUGGUGAAGAAAAGCCUGGGGCUAAUACCCUCGGGUCUUGACGUUAACCACAGAAGAAGCACCGGCUAACUCCGUGCCAGCAGCCGCGGUAAUACGGAGGGUGCGAACGUUAAUCGGAAUUACUGGGCGUAAAGCGCGCGUAGGCGGUUCGAUAAGUGGGAUGUGAAAGCCCUGGGCUCAACCUGGGAACUGCAUUCCAAACUGUCGGGCUAGAGUGUGGUAGAGGGAGGUAGAAUUUCCUGUGUAGCGGUGAAAUGCGUAGAUAUAGGAAGGAAUACCAGUGGCGAAGGCGGCCUCCUGGACCAACACUGACGCUGAGGUGCGAAAGCGUGGGGAGCAA
rnacentral:rRNA from 1 species